rnacentral:rRNA from 1 species
GGAUGAGCCCGCGGCCUAUCAGCUUGUUGGUGGGGUGAUGGCCUACCAAGGCGACGACGGGUAGCCGGCCUGAGAGGGUGAUCGGCCACAUUGGGACUGAGAUACGGCCCAGACUCCUACGGGAGGCAGCAGUGGGGAAUAUUGCACAAUGGGCGGAAGCCUGAUGCAGCGACGCCGCGUGAGGGAUGACGGCCUUCGGGUUGUAAACCUCUUUCAGCAGGGACGAAGCGUAAGUGACGGUAUGUGCAGAAGAAGGACCGGCCAACUACGUGCCAGCAGCCGCGGUAAUACGUAGGGUCCGAGCGUUGUCCGGAAUUAUUGGGCGUAAAGGGCUCGUAGGCGGUUUGUCACGUCGGGAGUGAAAACCAGGUGCUUAACACCUGGCCUGCUUUCGAUACGGGCAGACUAGAGGUACUCAGGGGAGAAUGGAAUUCCUGGUGUAGCGGUGAAAUGCGCAGAUAUCAGGAGGAACACCGGUGGCGAAGGCGGUUCUCUGGGAGUAUCCUGACGCUGAGGAGCGAAAGUGUGGGGAGCGAACAGGAUUAGAUACCCUGGUAGUCCACACCGUAAACGUUGGGCGCUAGGUGUGGGAUCCAUUCCACGGGUUCCGUGCCGCAGCUAACGCAUUAAGCGCCCCGCCUGGGGAGUACGGCCG